AAGGGGUUCUGGAGGGUUGUCCCAAAUCAGUGUGUCUGUGCGUGUGUUUGGGGCUUUUUAGGGUUUUGGUGCCCCUUAUUUGACUAGUUGCAUUUCCUCGGCCUGGGGUAUCCUUUCCUUCCUGUUCUCAUGUUUCUCUGUUGAUUGCCUAUUUGAGUGAAUUUGUUUAGGGGUGUGGGGUUUGUCUGCUCUGCCACUUGAUUUGGUGAGGGAGAUGGCUUAUCCCCUGAGAGAGGAGGCAAAGAACUGUACAACUCUGCAUGUCAUCCUUAUCAGAGGAAUAUUCUCCAUCUGGAUCCCCAAACAAAAAUUCAUGAGUGAAACACUCUCCAGGGGCCUUUACUAGCUGAUGAACAUCUGCUCCUAAAAAAGUACCUGAAUAGCCUACUGGGGAAAAGUAUGUACAAUAAUUCAAUUCGCUAAUAAAAUAUACAUAAAAAAUUAAAAAUAAGUAAUGCCCAAGGAGAGAAAGUGUGAAAUGUUACCAUCCAUACUGGAGAUUCGCUGGAAGAGAGUAGAGAAAUGGAAAACAGGUACUUAAUGUCAAAGGUGCUAGUGAGUAAAAGAGUAGGAAUUCAGCUCCUUACCAGGAGAACACAGUCUGUGUCUUGCAGUUCAUUCAUUGCCACAUGUAUAUCAUGUAGACAAACAUGGGGAAAGUCCUCCACACCAGUGGCCAUUAGGAAGCACUGAAAUCCAGGAACCCCAGCCUUCAGCAUUGGUAGGAGCUCAGCCUAAGAGAUAGCACAAGGACAAGCACUUGGAAAGUUUGCUAAUAAUAUGAAGAAAGCAGAAGAAUGGCUGAGUUGUGAAUUAAGUUCUGCCCUCUUGUAAUUUCUGCACAUAUUCAGCUUCAAUUGAGUUUUCAAUUUAAAUGCAAACUGAAUCUAAAUUUUCACCUACCCCUAUGAGGAUGAGCAGAGUUCAUUUCCCACUUCCAACAAUUUGCUGCAAUUCGUUCAUACACAUAUGGAAUUAGAACUGGGAUUUCAAGCCAAGUGAUUUAUUUCAAGCCACAUCUCUUAUUUUCAAAACUGUGUACUGUAUUGUACUGUUUCCAGAGCUCUUGCAUAGGGUGCAGUGUAACUUAGGGUUGCCAUAUGUACGGAAUUUCCUGGACAUAGCUGGCAAUCGGUCAUCGGAAAUCGUGUCUGGAUGGAAAUUGCUGAAAAGCUCAAAAACGUUUCUGGCCAGGUUUUCACUUUUUGAAAUACAGCAACCCUAGUAUAACUAAAAACAUGGCAGAAUCCUCCAUCCAUUUGCAGCCUCUUACUUUUAAUGGAUCAUGCUAUCUAAAGGAACACUUUCAUUUCUGCAGCCCUCUCUAUUUCUCUUGCCUUCAUGGCCCCCCUCCAAAGUACAUAAGACACAAGGGAGCUGAUGCCAUUUCAUUGCUGGAUACAAACCUGAUUUCCAGGAAUGAUGCCACCCCAAAAUGCAACAUCAACAUGGCACUUUCCCUUGGCAGACUGGAGCU